UCCUUAGAUGUCCUGGGCCGCACGCGCGUUACACUGAUGCAUUCAACGAGCUUAUAACCUUGGCCGAGAGGCCUGGGCAAUCUUGUUAACGUGCAUCGUGAUAGGGAUAGAUUAUUGAAAUUAUUAAUCUUGAACGAGGAAUUCCUAGUAAACGCAGAUCAUCAAUCUGCAUUGAUUACGUCCCUGCCCUUUGUACACACCGCCCGUCGCACCUACCGAUUGGAUGGUCCGGUGAAGCCUCGGGAUUGUGGUUCUUGCCGCUUUAUUGUGGCGUGACCGCGAGAACUUGUCUAAACCUUAUUAUCUAGAGGAAGGUGAAGUCGUAACA
rnacentral:rRNA from 1 species